CUGAAGGGUCCCCUCCCCCACCCCCCUCUAUGUAAAGUUCUCAAUUCUCAGUAUCUCACAUCAGCAAUUACCAUCUGCUAGCCCAAAGAGGAGAUAAUUUUCUUCUAAGACUUUCUGGAUAUUCACUAAAGACAACAGAAGAUUCUCAGCAUGGGAAUGAGUCUGGACUUGCUUGUUGAGAGGUAAGAAGAUACAGGGAAGCAUAAACCAGAACAUGAAGGAAAACCCUAUCAAGUUCAGCAAAGCUGCCUAACCAACUCACACCUGACCUCAGAAAUGGCUUGGACACAAGUGCACACCCACCUCCGAAACAGCAAGACCUGCAGCUUCAUCCUUUCUGGCAGGUUGAUGCUCUGGGCCAGAUGGAGACCGUGGCUGUGGACCCCCAGCCCUUCCCAUCCAGCUCCAGAAGUCAAGGCUCUAAUUCACUCUGAAAGGGCUUCAGCACCACCCCUGUGAGGUCCUUAAAUGUUUUAUGAGCUCCCUGAAAUGCUCAGAUAAUUAAAACACUUUCUUAAUUUAAUAGCUUGGCUUAAUGAAACCAGGACUUUAUGUUUUAUUUGGAAAGGGGUGAACAUCCCAGUCACACUUAUUAAUAUUUUUAAGAGUAUGCCCAAUUGUGUCCAGGGAUUGAGGGAAAUCAUUGCUUCAAGGGGAAAAUGGGCUUUCCUGAGUCUGUGACAAGUCUUGGGCUUAUUAGAGCUCAUUACAUCCAGGAAGCCUGAAAACCUAAAUUAGCAAUCAUCACAUAUGACGUGGCAGGCUAUUAUUAAGGAGGCCACUUAUUAUAGAAACAUGGAAUUAUCAAUUAAAAAGUAGUCCACACAAGCCCCAAAGGUCCAAUAGGAUUACCUGUGCCAUCUAGGCAGUCAUUUCAAAGGCUAACAUGGAGAAAAGAAUCCUCAGAGAGCAACUUUUCUGUCAAGUCAAAUAAGUAUGAUCCUCUUAGGAGGAAAAUGC
rnacentral:lncRNA from 1 species